UCCUCAAAGGCAUGGAACUGUUUCU
rnacentral:piRNA from 1 species